CAUUUCUUCACUGUCUACUGAAGUGCCCUUGCCAAAGGUCUAAAUAUGAUGGUAAUAUUUAUUUCAGAAGAGAAAAUCAUAGGGCUGAUGAUUUCUAAUGCUCAUUACCCAAAUGGCAAAUUACCAUCGGCUAUGAAUCUCAUGACAUGUCUUCCCCGUGUUCUCCUUUAGAGGCUCCAUAAUGUGACUUAUGGAAAGCUUAUUCAUCCGACAUUACGUAACGUAGAG
rnacentral:misc_RNA from 1 species